CAUUGCUGCAGUCAGACAGCAACCAACUUGAAUUCCUGCUCCUCACAGCCGGAAUGUUGUCCAAAAGGCAAAGAUGCACCAAUGUCUGUUUGAGCCCGGGGUACAGCAGGAACUGGGGAUAAUGAGACAUGUGAGCAGAAGAAGGGUGGGAGGAAUAAAAAAGUGAUUUAAUGGUGCAUGACGUGAAUGGAGAAAAAUACAGUCUAAGAAUAAAUUGCUAAAGAAGAAUAGAAAGCAGAGACACUCAUCUCCCUCCAGCAACGAUGAAAUCUAAGGAUAACAGGAAAUAAAGCAAUUAAGGUCAAGACUGGUAUCAAGCUUCUGUUCAGAUCAGCAUGCUCAUCAGAAUCCAAGCUGCUAAACGAGAAUUAAGAUGUCGUUAUCAGCCAUCUGUUCCUGGUCCUGCUCUCAAUUUCUUCCAUCAAAGAAAUAAUUCCAGACAUGAAACACCUCAUUGGAGCAACAAUCACCUGAAACUGCCAGAGUGCUGCAAUGCAACAGUGGGCCUGGCUUGCAGGGAGCAAUUGAAGGAACUUUUUCUGAUAUGCUGGUGUCACCAUAUACAGCAGCAGCUGCCAUGUCGGCUAAGUGAUAUUAGUGCCCACUCCUGCAAGCUGUCAAUAUUUCCUAGUAACAGCACCCGGCACUUUGCUAACCAUC
ensembl:lncRNA